CGGAGCGUAGCGCAGCCCGGUAGCGCACCUGCUUCGGGAGCAGGGGGUCGCAGGUUCGAAUCCUGCCGCUCCGA
rnacentral:tRNA from 1 species